UCAUACCUUUCUUGUGGGUCCGUAGCUCAGCUAGGUAGAGCGAUGGACUCUUAAUCCAUCGGUCGGGGGUUCAAAUC
rnacentral:tRNA from 1 species